AAGCACUCCUCUGAAUUUUGUAUUUUCACCAGGCUCAGUUGUUGACGAUAACAUUUAGGAAUGGUCACACUGGCUCCAGGGACAAAUGCCAGAGCUCAGUCAGCGAUCAUAAGGCAGCAGUCAUCGCCUUUGGCUCCAGGUCCUCCACCCAAUAGACCCUUGGGACCCAAAGUACCCAAAUUGGCUGCCCUACUCCUGGCAGCUUCCGGCUGUGCAGACCCUUCUCCUUGGAGGCCAUUCUGACUUCUUUGCACGUGGCACUCUACCCCAGUUCCUUACUCAGGAAAGGGACGUCGCUGCUGCCCACAGUGGAGUGCCACUCCCCUUGUUGCUUUGUCCAUCCAUCAGUCCUAUCUCAAGGAGGUGCUCCCAGGGCUCUCACAAGGCUGAGCCUGGGUUUUCUGGAUUUUAUCAGGCUCUCACUCGGGGAACUUGGAAUGCAUUCCCCUGAAGCUGGAUUGGAGCAGAUUUCAUCAAACCUGCAAGUGUCCCUUGUCACCAGCAGGAAAGCCAUAUUCCAGGAUGAAGCCUUAGCCCCUCGAGUCAUGCAUGACUUCUUUUGCCUCUAGCUGUAUGGCCUUACUUCAAAUCAUGGCCUUUCCAUCUCCUGGCAUGCCAUCUUGGAGUAGCCAGUAACUGCAAUACAGAAGCCCAGGAUGGGAAAUGGCCGCUCAGACAGAAACAGCCAUUGAUACCUGAACAGCACUUACAGCACUUUCCGCUUUACGAAGAGUCUUCACACUUUACGUCAGAGUUCCUGCAUCAUAGGAGGUAAAUGCUCAAAAGAUCGUUGAAUGAAUACAUGAAGUAUUGUGUGGAGACAAAAAUGAAUGUGAAAAUCGCAUCAAAGUUACCUUAUGAAAAGAAGUGGAUGUUCCUGAGGACUGAG